GGGGAUGUAGCUCUGUGGUAGAGCAUGUACUUGGCUUGCACAAGGCCCUAGAUUCAAUACCUAGUACCCUCA
rfam:Ictidomys tridecemlineatus contig027449, whole genome shotgun sequence.